UACGGGGGGAGCAAGCGUUGUUCGGAUUUACUGGGCGUAAAGGGCGCGUAGGCGGCCACCGCAAGUCGACUGUGAAAUCUCCGGGCUUAACCCGGAAAGGUCAGCCGAUACUGCGGGGCUAGAGUGCAGAAGGGGCAACUGGAAUUCUCGGUGUAGCGGUGAAAUGCGUAGAUAUCGAGAGGAACACCUGCGGCGAAGGCGGGUUGCUGGGCUGACACUGACGCUGAUGUGCGAAGGCUAGGGGAGCGAACGGG
rnacentral:rRNA from 1 species